UUACUAGAUAAACAGGGGAUCAACACCAAGUCGUAAUCGGUAUGUACGAUAUUUAUAGUUCUCCUGGCUUUUCAUACGGAUAGAUAAAGAACAAUAGACAUAGUUUUGUAAAAUGGCGCAUCUGUUAGUUCUUGUAGAGACAUGAUCCGUAUGAAACCUAAGACAAGUAGGCAAGUUACCUUCUCAAGUCUAAUCUUUUUUCAUACUUGUGGACGAGCAUGGGCGAUUGGAAUUAGCAGCUGUGCCUAAUCCAUAUCUGCGCUGGCCUAAGUUGUUCCGAAGCGCCAUCUCGCGGCUGGUGAGAGCUUUUCAAAAAACGACAAAAUCUAUCUAAACUCUCGCGGCGGAAAGGGUAGGCCGAAAGGAGCUACCCAGACGGUAGUUUUCUUGGUGACGUUGAAGUUCCAGACACGAACCGGACGUCAGCUUCGUGGACUAAGCUUGUGCGCACAUCUGUUAAUGUCGCUUGGGUUAUAAAAGGUACCAUUGUUCUUUUGGUUCGGAACACGGUUCGUCUGGUCGAUGGACGUCCAGCGAUGGCGUGGUCAGCUUCGGCUGGUAGCCGCUUGCGUUGCUGUGGCAGCCUCAGUCUCAUAUGGCAUUCAUCUGUGGUUUGACAAGGGACGUCAGGCUGCUCUUAAAUAUCUGCUCGAUAUGCAUCAACGACUAAGGCGCGAACUAGAUGAACUUCGGGGCCAAGUUGACCAAAUGGGUACUAUUCCUAGUCAGGGAGCUUUUGAUGGGACGAGCGGUCAGGCAUCGCGCAAUGUAAAUAAUACGAGACCUGGCCCAACAAAGAUUAUUCGCGGGUCGUGUUGCGAGGACGAUGGCACGACGCAGGCCGAUGGUGUAAAGAGUGAUGACGAAGAGUUCUUUGAAUUCUCUGAAGUAUAAAAUGACUUCGCUUCAGGUCGUUGCUCAAGGUUGGUUGAGGGGUGCGGGCGCAAGACGAAUGUAGAGCUGGUCGAAAGGAUAGAUUAAAGCUGUGAAUGAAAAAAUAGACCGUUGUCCGAAGCUCAUGCGAAUUGUAUACAAGAAGACGUACUCCUACGAGACGAGAGUUCUAUAUAGUUGCCUAAGCGUAUCUUCUAACAACAUUCAGUUUUAAUGAAGAAUAAUCAACAGGUUGAUGAUUUGAUAUGUUGCAGUGGUUAUGAAGUUGAAUGUUGAAGUGGUUAUAUCCUUAUAGAAUUUAGCUAGCUGGUGAGCAUGUUUCUGCGACAUGACAUCGCACACUAUGACCCUUGCCUCAAACGUCGCCUGCUGUACAAGAAAGCUUAGAAACGCUGCAAGAAAACCUUUGUAUAAACUUUGUAGUAGCGUUGUAGUAUACUAACGGACCGAGUCGAAGUCAAUCCUUGUAGCCUAGAAGGAUGGUGUAUAGACUGCGAGCCGAAGUCUUGGCAGAUUGUAGCUUCGUAUCUAAUUAUUAACAACUAUAGUGACUAUUUUUUUCAAUAUUAUCUUAGGUAGCGAUCGCCGCGAUCUGCAUGAAGUUUUGAUCAUUACAGAAAUAACUAUUUUUUAAAAAUAAAUAUGGCUGAAUGCACCUCUAGCAGUACUGAAUUAAGUAGGCUCAUGGCUUAGAAGCUGACAGUAACAUUGACUUGGUCAAGCUCUAUGGAUUAAAUUUUUCAAUUUAACCAACGAGCAGAAAAUUGAUGAUGGGAGCAAAAACGUAUUUUUUACUCAUUUUAUAUAUUUUCUUUACAUAAAUCUCUCGAUUACUGCCCGUAUAUUUACUUGCUACUUAAUUGCUCUUACGAUUGGCGGUAUUUCUGGCUUUCCUCGGUAUGUAUCUGUACCAUGUUUCCUCCUAUAUGGCAUUGAAAAGCACUCUUUCCUCUGGGGGACAGUUGUAAUUUUGUUGUGCAAUGAGCAAAAUCGAUAUCGGGUUCAGGCUCCAGACAAAGAUUUCCUGCGGGAAAUUAUGUAAAUCUUCAACAGCUACUUCUGUAUCGCCUAUGGCCAGGUCAAAGAGUCGUCGUAAUAGGACCCUUCUAAGGGUAAGUUCAAGGAUGCAACCCUAUACCGGCACCACUGCCCUGUGGGCCAUCAGAGGCCGAUUAGGACCUUGGCUAGCGAGCAAGUGGUUAACUGGCCGAAGAUACAGGCUACAAACACUAUAAUAACGUAGGCAUCUUGAAUCUAUAUAGAUAGCUAUAGAAAUUAAGCAAAAAAACAAGCCGUAAUUUUUGGUUCGAUACUCUUAAUGUAUUUAAAACGAAGUCUUGUUUCAUUCCCUACGAAUAAUGUGUUUGUUGUUAAUUACUGAAUUACCGAUGUCAAUAAAAUUAUUAUGUCCAUCAUUAUUAUAAUUGUUAAUAUUUUUUUUAUCAUUCUAUGUACAACAAUUAGAAUUAUCGAAAUAGCUCUGUUCGUUCGGCUAGACUCGUCGCCAACGAUUAUUAAGUGAGUUUAUAACAUUUCGAAAAAAUUCAAAGUCACUUAACUUGCGUCCAGCCUUUUGUCUUCCGUCUUCGUUUCUUCAGUACGAUUCUGGCCGCUCGUUUCUUCUCCGUACUGUGUGUGUGUGUGUUUUUAUUACUUCUAUUACACAAAUGUGAAAUUGAUAGUAAGAAGUACUUGGACAUAUAGGUCUAUCCGCGCCGCGUUCCGCCGUAAGUUGCGUUUUUACCAUUAACUGUUAAUUAGUAUUGUUAUUAUUUUUGUUAAUGCUUUGACUAUUCCAUACUUUUAUAACGGUUGCAAUUGCGUUAAGCUCUGCUUGUUUCGUUCAUUCAGCCUCCGCUGAACGAACGAAACAAGACCCUGCGUUACCGAAUAAGCGAUCCAUUUUCGCGCGAAAGUAUUCAGCGCGUAUAUUUGUUUACGAGCGACGUUCGCUUUUAGCUAUGCGUUACAGUCGUACGUCCGACGUCGACGAUUCGUUCUUACAAACCGCUAGUAGACGAUACUUGCAAUUUACCCUUUACUCCGCCAUGACUUUAGGCACGAAAACGUAUCCGGGUCCAUAAAAUGUCUGCUUAUGUUUGUUCACGUCGUCCAGUGGGCCCGAAUGAUGGCUCAGGUAAAACACGACAGAAUCCUCAUCGUAGGUCUGUUGUAUGCUCGACCCGAAAAAAACUAGGUCCGCUAGCUUUCGCAUUCUUGAAGAACUUUACUCCAAGAAAUUAUAGAUUUGUUAAUUUGAGUUGAAUCUGCAUCAUGUCAAGGUUAAAGGUAUUUGUAGUAUUUUUUCGUCUCCUGGAAGAGCAUGAAUAGUCUUCGAAGAAAAUCGCUGAUUCUAUUUGCCAAAAUAUAGUUGCGUUUUGCUUUGUUUUUUUAGUCCGAAACGUGUGUUUAUAAAUCUUCACUUCAUCCCACGAAACGGUUCAAAUCUAGGAAAUAUUGUUUAAAAAUGAGGUUUGUAAUGGCAGUCCCCAUGGCAGGUCCACCAAACUGCUUUCCUUCAUUCCGCAGAAUAACCAAGAUAUGCUUUUUCUUUAGCUUCACUCGCCUUCUUUGUAGCCUAGUAUCUGAUAUACUACACGUAGUAUUCUAUAAAUAUACAUAUACAUCUGCUGGAAGGCUAUGUAUUUAUAUGCAGAGCAGAUAAAAUGGCUAUUUUUUCG